rnacentral:rRNA from 1 species
GUAGGACCCAAGCGUUAUCCGGAUUGACUGGGCGUAAAGAGUUGCGUAGGUGGUUUGUUAAGCGAAUAGUGAAAUCUUGUGGCUCAACCAUAAGGCUAUUAUUCGAACUGGCAAACUCGAGAAUGGGAGAGGUAUCUAGAAUUCCUCAUGUAGGGGUAAUAUCCGUAGAUAUGAGGAGGAAUACCAAUGGCGUAGGCAGGAUACUGGCCCAUUUCUGACACUAAGGCACGAAAGCGUGGGGAGCGAACCGGAUUAGAUACCCGGGUAGUCCACGCCGUAAACGAUGAAUACUAGUUGUAUGCAGUAUCGACCCUGUGUGUAACGAAGCUAACGCGUUAAGUAUUCCGCCUGGGGAGUACGGUCGCAAGACUA